UACGAAGGGGGCUAGCGUUGCUCGGAAUCACUGGGCGUAAAGCGCACGUAGGCGGAUCGUUAAGUCAGGGGUGAAAUCCUGGAGCUCAACUCCAGAACUGCCUUUGAUACUGGCGACCUUGAGUUCGGGAGAGGUGAGUGGAACUGCGAGUGUAGAGGUGAAAUUCGUAGAUAUUCGCAAGAACACCGAUGGCGAAGGCAGCCAUCUGGACCGACACUGACGCUGAGGCGCGAAAGCGUGGGGAGCAAACAGG
rnacentral:rRNA from 1 species